rnacentral:lncRNA from 1 species
UGGAAAAGCCCAUCCAGCGAACUCAUUCGCAAAUUCUUCCCAUGUCAUACCGUCUAGUCUCGGGUCCACAUAACACUUGAACCAUUCCCGUGCCUUCUUGCACUUUAAAGUGAACCCUGCCAUCUGAAUGGCCCUGCUGUCACUUGCCCCUAGCUCAUCAGUUAUUGUCUUAACCACUCUCAGAUACUCAAAGGGGUCAUCCCCUGACUUGUAUUUGGGAGCAUCUAGCUUGAGGUAAUCUGUCAUCUUUACCUUGCUCCCAUCAGCUGAGCUAGGUCUAGGAGGUUGAGUAACUGGGGC